rnacentral:rRNA from 1 species
AACUUUCAGCAACGGAUCUCUGGCUCUCGCAUCGAUGAAGAACGCAGCGAAUUGCGAUAUGUAAUGUGAAUUGCAGAUUUUCAGUGAAUCAUCGAAUCUUUGAACGCACCUUGCGCUCCUUGGUAUUCCGAGGAGCAUGCCUGUUUGAGUGUCA